AGACUGAAAAUUAAAACAGGCCCAAAAUUUUAAUACCCCCCAAUUAUUUCGAUCCCUCUCCUAUCAAAUCCCUGAUCCUUUUCCUCUCGUCGAAAUCUCAAACCCUAGUUUUUCCCCCUUUUUUCUUUUUUUGGGAAUCAGGGAGAAGUGCUGAGCGGUCUGAACGAUCUCGUGAUGAUGAACCCUAGGCGAUUGACUCUAGGCGACCGCGCCGCUGUGUACCCCUGCGCUCCGCUGGAUCUCGAGGUGGUGAAGGGCGACAUCAGAUCCAUGGAAUAGGAUGAGUGCCCCAUCGGAUCGAUCCUGGCUAUCAGAUCCGCCGUGGCCGUGUCGUCGGAUCUCUGCAAAGCUCCCUACCUGUUUGAUCUCUCAACGACCCUAUCGAUUCCUUUCUCUCAAAUGGAGACAGAUUUGAUGAGUUCUCAUUAGGACAAUGACGAUGAGUACGAAAUAUUCAAUCAGAGAAUGAACCCACCAAGGUUUGCAUCUUUUGGUUUUUUUGGUCUAUUCUUUUAUUCAUUUACUUUCAAUCUUCUAAUUUCUUUAAUUUGUUCCAUGUUAGGGUUGUAAUUGAUAAUGAAUCAUGUGCUAAUGCAACAGUUGUUAGAGUAAGUUAUCAGGUUGAUUGUUGCUCGCAUGGGGCUGAAAAACUGGAUUUAAGUUAAAACGUUGAGCAAAUUGAUCCAGUAACUCUUAAGCAACUCCUAAGGGGUUGCCUAUUGAUUCCAUCAAUUGUAUUCUAUGAUCAAGCUUAUUUAUAUUUGCAGUUGCUAUUUCUUCAAACAUCUACCUGUUACUCUAUGCUUCUAUCUUUCAAGUUGAAACAUAUUUAGCUGAUAAGGAUGAGGUUUAAAUCUGGAGCCUCGAAACUUUUCAUCGUGCACUUUCAACUCGGCAAGGCUACAUGAAAGGCAUAGUCGAACAAGCUUCUAAUAGAAAAUAUUGGGACAUAUAGAACCAACAGAAGUUGAAUCUUGAAAUUGAAGCGAAACGCCAGAAUAUUUUAAAUGCAAAUCAGAAUUUGACAAAUCAGAUCAUUGAACUGGAGAGACAUUUCCACACUCUUGAGAUAAAUAGAUUUGGUGGAAGUGGUAGAACUUCAUUAGGUCAUACAACUUUCCAGAGUGGUUCUCUGCCUGUAAGGCAAAAAACAAUCUUUUCAGAGUGUCUAUAACACACUAAACUCACAAUUAGCAGCAGUCGAGCAUCUUUCUGAAUGCAUAUCUCAACAGAUGUCUGAGUUAAAUUUAAACUCAGUUCCUGUAAAGCGGCAGAGCAUAACAAAAGAGCUUUUUGAGUCGAUUGGUCUUUCUGAUGAAAACAUGUCAUUUGAAUCACCAGUUUGCAAAAGAUCCAGCCUUACUCUGUAUUCUACGAGGAGAACACCUCUAUCCGUGACCGGUGCUAUUAGGGACCAUCUGAGUAAAAAGACAUUAAGUGUAGCAAAGGCUUUUGAGCCAGAAACUGCAAGGAGGAGAAGGGACUCACUGGAUAAAAGUUGUUCUUUUGCAUGCAUCUUAUCCAUUUUCCAGAGAAGCAUCAUAUCUUGCUUUUGUGUACCCCCAGCAGUACUAGUACUCAAUUGCUGAAGAUGAUGAGUCUCCCAAGUCAUAUGUAAUGCAUCAAAGUUAGUUUUUGUUAUUCUGUGUACUAUGGUUAAUUUCUUGUACUCCAUGUUGGAUUAUCCAAAGGCUAGUAUUUGUUUUUUUGGCACAUUUGUGUUGACUCUUCUUGUAUGCUACAACUUGGUUAUGUAUCAGUUUGAACCUUUAAAUAAAAUAUUUGCUUUUAUGAUUGUCA